rnacentral:rRNA from 1 species
UACGUAGGGUGCAAGCGUUGUCCGGAUUUAUUGGGCGUAAAGAGCUCGUAGGCGGUUUGUCGCGUCGGAUGUGAAAACCCAGGGCUCAACCCUGGGCCUGCAUUCGAUACGGGCAGACUAGAGUAUGGCAGGGGAGACUGGAAUUCCUGGUGUAGCGGUGAAAUGCGCAGAUAUCAGGAGGAACACCGGUGGCGAAGGCGGGACUCUGGGCCGAUACUGACGCUGAGGAGCGAAAGCGUGGGGAGCGAACAGG